CUGGGUGUCCGGUUUUUGACCAGAACACCCAGUCGAAAAGGGAUCCUGGCAGCUCCAGUCAGCACCAUUGACCAGACCGUUGACUGUCUGGUUGGCAGUGCUGUGCAGAGGGGCUGACAGGCUCCCUGCUAGCUGCCGCAGCACACGGCUCCCAGGAAGCAGCUGGCAUGUCCGGCUCCUAGGCUUAGGGGUGGCCAGGGGGCACCCGCCUGCAGGCACAGCUCCCAUUGGCCGGAGCAGGGCAGGGGACAAACUAGCAUGCCUAGCAGGCACCUCUCCCACGGCUGCCGGGCCUCUUCUACUCCUCGAGCUCUUCCUGUGGCUGGGCUUGAGCUGCAGCACAUGUACUGUGGUGAACCACGGUCUGUCGCCCCAUCGCCGGCACCCAGGAGUUGGAGGCCUCUUGGUACUUUGGAGAGUGGGAGCAUAAACCUCUCUUGGCUUUGAUCCCUCCUCUGUCACGUAGGCUGCACCGUCACUUCUCUUGGUGGGCCACAUUUUCCAAACAGCUCAGCACAGCAAGUCCUGAGCACUUGAAAGCCUGGCCCUGAGCUCUCUAAGUUUCCAUGCAGAGCUGUGUUGCCCAGUGGCUGAGUCUAGCUGAUCUGUAUUUGAUCAUCAGUGAGCACUUACACCUGGAAUGGAUUUACCAGCUGACAGUGAGAGCUCUUGUUUCCCAGAACUUCUGCUGACAGUUACACUGGGGGUGGGAGGUGGAGGGGGUGUUUGAUGGGUUUUCCUCUCCCCUCCGUGUCCACUUUCUCUCGAACCUGGUGAGGAAGAACAUCAGGGAAGAAAAGCAGGGACCAGACAAAUCCCUUUCAGUGCUAUGGAAAUACUUGGGGCAUGGAGAGAUCUUCAUUGAUUUCAAUGCCAGAAGGGACUGUUUGAAGCAUCCAGUCUGAGCAUCUGCAUAACACAGGCCAUGGAAUGAUUUAUAGACUGAAAUGGGCAGGGGGGAAAGAGCCUACCUUUGAUAAAUAGAUGGGUUGGCAUGUCUAUGUCUGAGCCUCAUCUCUGCACAGACAGAGGCUCUGAGUGCCUGAUUGUUGCUCUCCUGCACCUUGUGUCAUCACUGACUAUAAUGCCAUGUAGGUGAAAAUACUGCCAGCCUGGAGCGAUAGGAUUUGAUGCCCAUUUGCCACUGGCUUGACUGCAGGAGGGGCAGGUCGGUGGUGAAUUGGGCCUAAAUGCUUCCCAGGAAACAAAGGCUUCUGUAGUGAUGCCUGAAAGCAAAAAGG